rnacentral:tRNA from 1 species
UACUAAGAAGCUAAAUCGGGUUCGGCAUUAGCCUUUUAAGCUGGAGUUAGGUGCUUCCCAACCACCCUUGGUAA